AUUGAACGCUGGCGGAAUGCUUUACACAUGCAAGUCGGGCGGCAGCGCGGGGGCAACCCUGGCGGCGAGCGGCGAACGGGUGAGUAACACAUCGGAACGUACCCUGUCGUGGGGGAUAACGAAUCGAAAGAUUCGCUAAUACCGCAUACGACCUGAGGGUGAAAGCGGGGGAUCGCAAGACCUCGCGCGAGAGGAGCGGCCGAUGGCGGAUUAGCUAGUUGGUGGGGUAAAGGCCCCACCAAGGCGACGAUCCGUAGCGGGUCUGAGAGGACGGCCCGCCACACUGGGACUGAGACACGGCCCAGACUCCUACGGGAGGCAGCAGUGGGGAAUUUUGGACAAUGGGCGAAAGCCUGAUCCAGCCAUGCCGCGUGAGUGAAGAAGGCCUGGUUGUAAAGCUCUUCGUGGGAGAAUAGCAUAGGCUAAUACCCUGUGUAGAUGACGGUACCUGGAGAGAAGCACCGGCUAACUACGUGCCAGCAGCCGCGGUAAU
rnacentral:rRNA from 1 species